rnacentral:rRNA from 1 species
GUUAAUCGGGGCAGGGUGAGUCGACCCCUAAGGCGAGGCCGAAAGGCGUAGUCGAUGGGAAACAGGUUAAUAUUCCUGUACUUGGUGUUACUGCGAAGGGGGGACGGAGAAGGCUAUGUUGGCCGGGCGACGGUUGUCCCGGUUUAAGCGUGUAGGCUGGUUUUCCAGGCAAAUCCGGAAAAUCAAGGCUGAGGCGUGAUGACGAGGCACUACGGUGCUGAAGCAACAAAUGCCCUGCUUCCAGGAAAAGCCUCUAAGCAUCAGGUAACAUCAAAUCGUACCCCAAACCGACACAGGUGGUCAGGUAGAGAAUACCAAGGCGCUUGAGAGAACUCGGGUGAAGGAACUAGGCAAAAUGGUGCCGUAACUUCGGGAGAA